AAACUUACCAGGACGGGAUCGAUGGGCGAUCCAUAAGACCCAUGGCCUAGGUUGGUGACCCCAUUGCACUAUGGAGGGACGCCCACUUAAGGUCGGUCCAAGUGGUCGAGCCUGUGUCAUAAUUUGUGACAGAGGGGCCUGCGUUCGCACGAAA